GCGGAUGUAGCUCAAUGGUAGAGCCUCAGUCUUCCAAACUGAUGGUGCGGGUUCGAUUCCCGACAGCCUGGGCACCA
rnacentral:tRNA from 1 species